rnacentral:rRNA from 1 species
GUAGGGAAUAUUGGACAAUGGGGGCAACCCUGAUCCAGCGACGCCGCGUGAGUGACGAAGGCCUUCGGGUCGUAAAGCUCUGUUGCAAGGGAAAAACAAAAUGAUGGUACCUUGCUAGAAAGGAUCGGCUAACUUCGUGCCAGCAGCCGCGGUAAGACGAGGGAUCCUAGCGUUGUUCGGAAUUAUUGGGCGUAAAGCGGUUGUAGGUGGCUUUGUAAGUCAGGUGGGAAAGCCUGGGGCUUAACCCCAGAAGUGCAUUUGAUACUGCGAAGCUUGAGUGCUGGAGAGGAUACUAGAAUUCUUGGUGUAGUGGUGAAAUACGUAGAUAUCAAGAGGAAUACCGGAGGCGAAGGCGGGUAGCUGGCCAGACACUGACACUCAGACCCGAAAGCGUGGGGAUCAAACAGGAUUAGAUACCCUGGUAGUCC